CCGUGCCACAAUGGCAUCUACAAACCGCAGCAAACUCGCAAGAGGGAGCCAAUCGACAUAAUCCUGUCUCAGUUCGGAUUGCAGUAUGCAACUCGACUGCAUGAAGUUGGAAUCGCUAGUAAUCGCGGAUCAGCAUGUCGCGGUGAAUACGUUUCCGGGUCUUGUACACACCGCCCGUCACACCAUUUGAUUGGAUUGCACCACACUCAGCCCCCGCAGCAGGACUACCGUUCGACUUGCAUGCAUUAGGCACGCCGCUAGCGUUCAUCCUGAGCCAGGAUCAAACUCUAAUCUAGAUGCAUCGCGAGUUCAUC
rnacentral:rRNA from 1 species